GUGUCAGCAGCCGCGGUAAUACAGAGGGUGCAAGCGUUGUUCGGAAUUAUUGGGCGUAAAGCGCGUGUAGGCGGUCCUGCAAGUUGGGUGUGAAAGCCCUCGGCUUAACCGAGGAAGUGCGCCCAAAACUACAGAACUUGAGUACCGGAGAGGGUGGCGGAAUUCCCGGUGUAGAGGUGAAAUUCGUAGAUAUCGGGAGGAACACCAGUGGCGAAGGCGGCCACCUGGACGGAUACUGACGCUGAGACGCGAAAGCGUGGGUAGCAAACAGGAUUAGAUACCCUGGUAGUCC
rnacentral:rRNA from 1 species